rnacentral:rRNA from 1 species
UGGGGAAUAUUGCACAAUGGAGGGAACUCUGAUGCAGCGACGCCGCGUGAGUGAUGAAGGAAUUCGUUUCGUAAAACUCUGUUCUAUGGGAAGAAAAGGACUGUACCAUAGGAGAAAGCUCCGGCUAAAUACGUGCCAGCAGCCGCGGUAAUACGUAUGGAGCGAGCGUUGUCCGGAAUUAUUGGGCGUAAAGGGUGCGCAGGCGGCUUUACAAGUUGGAUGUGAAAUAUUGUGGCUCAACCACAAACGUGCAUCCAAAACUGCAAAGCUUGAGUGAAGGAGAGGUAAGUGGAAUUCCUGGUGUAGCGGUGGAAUGCGUAGAUAUCAGGAGGAAUACCGGUGGCGAAGGCGACUUACUGGGCUUAAACUGACGCUCAGGCACGAAAGCGUGGGGAGCAAACAGG